GUAAGGAAUAUUGGACAAUGGACGCAAGUCUGAUCCAGCCAUGCCGCGUGAAGGAUUAAGGUCCUCUGGAUUGUAAACUUCUUUUAUAAGGGACGAAAAAAGGCUUUUCUAAGUCGUCUGACGGUACCUUAUGAAUAAGCACCGGCUAACUCCGUGCCAGCAGCCGCGGUAAUACGGAGGGUGCAAGCGUUAUCCGGAUUCACUGGGUUUAAAGGGUGCGUAGGCGGGCAGGUAAGUCAGUGGUGAAAUCCUAGAGCUUAACUCUAGAACUGCCAUUGAUACUAUCUGUCUUGAAUAUUGUGGAGGUAAGCAGAAUAUGUCAUGUAGCGGUGAAAUGCUUAGAUAUGACAUAGAACACCUAUUGCGAAGGCAGCUUACUACGCAUAUAUUGACGCUGAGGCACGAAAGCGUGGGGAUCAAACAGGAUUAGAUACCCGUGUAGUCC
rnacentral:rRNA from 1 species